GACGAACGCUGGCGGCGUGCUUAACACAUGCAAGUCGAACGAAGAGCGAUGGAAGCUUGCUUCUAUCCAUCUUAGUGGCGAACGGGUGAGUAACGCGUAAUCAACCUGCCCUUCAGAGGGGGACAACAGUUGGAAACGACUGCUAAUACCGCAUACGAUCUAAUCUCGGCAUCGAGGAUAGAUGAAAGGUGGCUGCUACAUGUAAGCUAUCAUUGAAGGCGGGGAUUGCGUCUGUUGAGUUAGUAGGAGGGGUAACGGCCCACCAAGGAGAUGGUCAGUAGCCCGACUGAUGGGAUGAACGGCCACAUUGGGACUGAGACACGGCCCAGGAGCCCACGGGAGGGAGCAAGGGGGAAACGUCCGGAAGGGACGGAAAUCUGACCGAACAACGCCGCGGGAGUGAUGACCGCCUUCGGGUUGGAAAGCACUGUUAAUCGGGGCGAAACGCCUUCCUGCGAAUAGGUAGAAGGAUUGACGGUACCGGAUUAAAAAGCCACGGCUAACUACGUG
rnacentral:rRNA from 1 species